GAUCUUGAGUUCACCCAAACCGGCUCGCAAUUCAGAACUGAAGAAUUUUAAUAUCAAGAAUAAAAAAUGAACCGUCAGCUUGUGUUGGUCUUGAUCAUCGCCUCCCUGGUGGCGUUUGGUUCUUGUGGUCGUCGUCGAAGGCAUCGUCUUACUUCACUGAAUGACCAGCAAUCAAUUGAUGAUGAUAAKUUGUCAAGUCUGCUUUGGAAAAGAGACUGUACCUGCCCAAAUGGCGAUUCUGGAGUAUGGAACUACAGGAUUUGUCCCAGGGGUCAGAGUGCUUGCAUUUAUGGCCAUCCAAAAAACAGAAUGCUGCGAUGUUGUCAUUAAAUAAUAAUAUAAAAAAAGUUUGCAGAAUACGAAGUUUGUUUUCCAAACAGAAAAGUCAAAUAGUUUCUCAACUUAACGAUAAAUUGCUUGUAUUUAUACUAGCUAUUACUAGUCGAUGACUGUCGAAUAUUUCUGUAAACAAAAAAAGCAAAAUUGUAUGUACAAGUCCCUUGGAUUCUUAAUUAAUCACAAGUAAUGCCAAAUGUUUGUAGCUAGCUAUAGUUUCAGAAAAAAAUUAAAAAACAAAAUUUUACGUGGAUAAAAAAAAUGACAACAAUAAUGUAAAAAAGGCGGGAAAAUCAUUAUGCAAAUCAUC